rnacentral:rRNA from 1 species
AGAGUUUGAUCAUGGCUCAGAAUCACGCUGGCGGCGUGCUCAGACAUGCAAGUCGAACGCGAAAGCCCCUUCGGGGGGUAAGUAGAGUGGCGCACGGGUGAGUAACACGUAGGUAAUCUACCUUUGGAUGGGGAAUAACACCGGAAACGGUGGCUAAUACCGCAUAAUGCAGCGGCACCUAAUGGUGACAGUUGUUAAAGCGGGGGAUCGCAAGACCUCGCGUCUGAAGAGGAGCCUGCGGCGGAUUAGCUAGUUGGUAGGGUAACGGCUUACCAAGGCGAUGAUCCGUAGCCGGCCUGAGAGGGCGGUCGGCCACACUGACACUGACAUACGGGUCAGACUCCUACGGGAGGCAGCAGUCGGGAAUUUUGGGCAAUGGGCGAAAGCCUGACCCAGCAACGCCGCGUGAAGGAUGAAAUCCCUCGGGAUGUAAACUUCGCAAGAUCAGGAAGAAUAAGUAAGAGCUAACAUCUCUUAUGAUGACGGUACUGUUUGUAAGCUCCGGCUAACUCCGUGCCAGCAGCCGCGGUAAUACGGGGGGAGCAAGCGUUGUUCGGAUUUACUGGGCGUAAAGGGCGCGUAGGCGGCCACCGCAAGUCGACUGUGAAAUCUCCGGGCUUAACUCGGAAAGGUCAGCCGAUACUGCGGGGCUAGAGUGCAGAAGGGGCAACUGGAAUUCUCGGUGUAGCGGUGAAAUGCGUAGAUAUCGAGAGGAACACCUGCGGCGAAGGCGGGUUGCUGGGCUGACACUGACGCUGAGGCGCGAAAGCUAGGGGAGCGAACGGGAUUAGAUACCCCGGUAGUCCUAGCCUUAAACGAUGAAUGCUUGGUGUCUGGGGUUUUAUAGUCCCCGGGUGCCGUCGCUAACGCUUUAAGCAUUCCGCCUGGGGAGUAUGGUCGCAAGACUGAAACUCAAAGGAAUUGACGG